GGCCACUCGAGGUGCCCCGGGGAAGGCGGAGCAGGCCACCCUCCGAAGAAGUAAGAGCCCGGACGAGCUCGGACUGCAGCCUGGCGCGGGGCAGUCACGCCGUGAGGGACGGGGCUGGGGAGGGGAGUCGUGGAGGGGCCGCGGGCAAGGGCCCCUCCGCAGCCGUCAACCCCGCUGCUGCCCGCCCAGGGCCAGCCUUGCCACAGCCCAGGCUGGGCGCCCCGGGACCCUCACAACAUCAGGGCCGAUGUCCCCAGAAGCCGUGACCGGUGCCCGGACGAUGAGGCGAAGCGUGCCCCACCCUGGCCUGUCUCCCCAGGGGCAGAAGGUGUCCAGGCUCGGAGUGGACACCAACCGUGCAGGGCCAGGAGCAGGCCGUCUAGAGCUCCCAGGGGGCAAUAGUGGGGAUGGGGCGAGGGGGGAGACCCAAGCAGAGGGAACAGCGGGUGAAGGGGGCUUCACCCAAGGUGCCAGGCCAGAUGGCCGGACAGGCAGGGGCACCCACCCACGCGCCCCAGACUUCCCCCUCCCCUGGGAGCCUUGCUGGCGCUGGAGGCCUGCUUGGUCCCUGCAGGUGAGAGCGAGGUGGGGCCGCACCCCGGGCAGCAGCGGGGGCUCCCUUCUGACCGGCGCCUCUGCAGCCUCUCUCUGUGCACGUGGUGGGGGGGUGAGGGGUUUGGAAAGAACUGCACCGAGAAAGACACAAGAGACUCAGCGACUCAGGGCAGUGGCAGUGUCUGUGGCCUCCGACCCCACCUCACGCCUUCUGACGGUGGCCCGUGGCCUCUCCCACCAGCGCAGGCUCCGUCGGUCUCUCGCCACCUCCAGCCCUGCUUGGACCUAGGACUUGAGCCGCCCUGCGCGCGCGCCGCGGAGGAUGGGCUGUGACCGUGCCCAGAUGACUGUGCCCCCGGCGGCAGGUGCCAGCCAAGGUACUGACCCCAGACCCCCACCCCCUUGACCUCCCUGUCACCUUCCCCAUCCCUCUCGUCCAGCCGGAUGCCUAGACCGUCACUGUGGCCACCGCACAGGAACUUCUACCCUCCCGGCUCUGAGCUAACCACGAGAUGGCGGUCGGCGGCCCCACUGCAGGCAGGACCCCCGCCUGCAGCCCCCACCGGGUCUCCAUUCACGCCUCCACAGCAGGUGCAUCGAGCCCACGCUCCCCCAUCACUGGGUGACUGUCCCGCCUGCCCGUCUCCGCCAACUCCCCCACGUGGCGUCUUCGUCCUGAUGCUCAGCUGAGAGUUCCAUCCGGAGAGGCUUCCAACGACCCACCCACACCACCACCCCUGGGGUGCGUACUCAGCCAGGCUGCCCGUGGUCUCAGCCAGGCCUCCUCACUGCGUCAGCCUGGCCGC
rnacentral:lncRNA from 1 species